AUACCCUAUUAUUAAAAUUUUAAUUUAAAAUAUUGAUUAGUAUUAGUUAUAUUCUUGAAAAUAAAAAAAUUUGGCGGUAUUAUAGUCUUUUUAGAGGAACUUGUUUUUUAAUCGAUAACCCACGAUUAAAAUUACUUAAUUUUAAAAUUUAUAUAUCAUCGUAAUUAAAUAUAUUAUAAGAUUUAAUAUUUAGUGUUUAUUAUUAUAAAGUAAAUCAGAUCAAGGUGUAGUAAUAAUUAAGAUUUAAUGAGUUACAAUAAAUUUAUUUAAAUGAAUUAUUAAUGUAAUAUUAGUAUGAAGGUGGAUUUAAUAGUAAAAUGAUUUAUUUAAAUUAUUUGAUUUAGCUCUAUAAUAUGUACACAUCGC
rnacentral:rRNA from 1 species